rnacentral:rRNA from 1 species
AUUGAACGCUGGCGGCAUGCCUUACACAUGCAAGUCGAACGGCAGCACGGGAGCAAUCCUGGUGGCGAGUGGCGAACGGGUGAGUAAUAUAUCGGAACGUGCCCGGUCGUGGGGGAUAACGUAGCGAAAGCUACGCUAAUACCGCAUACGAUCUACGGAUGAAAGCGGGGGAUCGCAAGACCUCGCGCGAUUGGAGCGGCCGAUAUCAGAUUAGGUAGUUGGUGAGGUAAAGGCUCACCAAGCCGACGAUCUGUAGCUGGUCUGAGAGGACGACCAGCCACACUGGGACUGAGACACGGCCCAGACUCCUACGGGAGGCAGCAGUGAGGAAUAUUGGUCAAUGGGCGCAAGCCUGAACCAGCCAUGCCGCGUGCAGGAAGACGGUCCUAUGGAUUGUAAACUGCUUUAUACAGGAAGAAACCCUCCCACGUGUGGAGCUUGACGGUACUGUAGGAAUAAGGAUCGGCUAACUCCGUGCCAG